ensembl:snoRNA predicted gene, 23130
GUUUGAAUGAUGACUUAAAUUGUCGGAUACCCCUUCACCCCUGCCAUGGGUGAAACCUAAGAGUCUGACAAAC